rnacentral:rRNA from 1 species
UACGUAGGGUGCAAGCGUUGUCCGGAAUUAUUGGGCGUAAAGCGCGCGUAGGCGGCCCUGUAAGUCCGUUGUGAAAGUCAAAGGCUCAACCUUUGAAAGCCGAUGGAUACUGCAGGGCUAGAGUCCGGAAGAGGCGAGUGGAAUUCCUGGUGUAGCGGUGGAAUGCGCAGAUAUCAGGAGGAACACCAAUAGCGAAGGCAGCUCGCUGGGACGGUACUGACGCUAAGGCGCGAAAGCGUGGGGAGCGAACAGG